ensembl:lncRNA
AAGAACGUUGGAUCAGCAGGAAACAGCCACUCCUGAUGAAUCCACUUCCUCCUGGUUGACGUCUGUGUUUUAUUUCAGUAUAAACAACAAAACACUGAUAUGCACAAUGUAAGUUUAUAAGAAAAAAAUUAUGUAUUCAUUAAUUAGGUAUAAUUGAUACAAUGCAUGUAGCGGAAUUAUUUCUCCUUGUACGUAGACUAAUCAAGUUAACAACAGUGUUUGCUCACAAAACAAACCUUUGAGUACAAACCAACAGGUGCACAGCAACAGCGAUCAGGAGCAAAUACACUUCUCUAAUAUGGAUUUGUAAUAGUUAUGUAUUUUAUUAUAUAUCAGAGUGCAGUUGUCUUUAAUUAUGUUAAUUCAAUGCACUUUUGCAAAUAGUGUAUCAGGAAAUCUACCUGAUUCAAUUAUAAAGAGUACUUUUUUACAAUACAAUUCUUUGGAUCAUGGUGUAGUUUUUUCAAUUAUAACAAAAAGAUUUGUAUUUUAUGUUUUUUUAGCUUCUGAAUUAACUUUUCAAUUCUUUGUUCAGGCAAAUUUUGUUAAUCUCAUUAAUAGUAAAUUUCAAAUGUUUUGUCAAAUUAGUAAAAACAGUAAUAGUAUUGUAUAAAUAUAGGAGUUGAUAGGAGAGAGGUGAGAGUGAGAGAAGAGAAUCUCUCAGAUCAUUCAAAAAGGUAGAUCAGGUUGCAAUAACCUUAGGUUCAGGUUUCAGGGUUCAGGGUUCAGGUUUCAGAAUAUCAGGGUUUUCAGGCUUCUGUAUACAGAUAGAGUGGGAUAGAAGAGGGAUACAAAGAUAGAGUUUCCAAAAUCAGACAGAGCGGUAGAUUUGACAGGAAAGCUAGAGUUAUCAAAUUGUAGACAGAGUGGAUACAAGGUAUAGGAGAGACAGAGAGCCAAUGGGAUAGAGGAGGAGAGAUGCUGGACAGCAGG